CCUACGGGAGGCAGCAGUAGGGAGUCUUCGGCAAUGGACGAAAGUCUGACCGAGCAACGCCGCUUGAGUGAAGAAGGUUUUCGGAUCGUAAAACUCUGUUGUUAGAGAAGAACAAGGAUGAGAGUAAGAUGUUCAUCCCUUGACGGUAUCUAACCAGAAAGCCACGGCUAACUACGUGCCAGCAGCCGCGGUAAU
rnacentral:rRNA from 1 species